AGUGAACGCUGGCGGUAGGCCUAACACAUGCAAGUCGAACGGCAGCACAGUAAGAGCUUGCUCUUACGGGUGGCGAGUGGCGGACGGGUGAGGAAUACAUCGGAAUCUACUUUUUCGUGGGGGAUCACGUAGGGAAACUUACGCUAAUACCGCAUACGACCUACGGGUGAAAGCAGGGGAUCUUCGGACCUUGCGCGUUUGAAUGAGCCGAUGUCGGAUUAGCUAGUUGGCGGGGUAAAGGCCCACCAAGGCGACGAUCCGUAGCUGGUCUGAGAGGAUGAUCAGCCACACUGGAACUGAGACACGGUCCAGACUCCUACGGGAGGCAGCAGUUGGGAAUAUUGGACAAUGGGCGCAAGCCUGAUCCAGCCAUACCGCGUGGGUGAAGAAGGCCUUCGGGUUGUAAAGCCCUUUUGUUGGGAAAGAAAAGCAGCAGGUUAAUACCCCGCUGUUCUGACGGUACCCAAAGAAUAAGCACCGGCUAACUUCGUG
rnacentral:rRNA from 1 species